GACGUAGGGGGCAAGCGUUGUCCGGAUUCAUUGGGCGUAAAGGGCUCGUAGGCGGCUUAGCAAGUCAGGUGUGAAACCUCCAGGCUCAACCUGGAGACGCCACUUGAGACUGCUAUGGCUAGAGUGCGGUAGGGGACCAUGGAAUCUCCGGUGUAGCGGUGAAAUGCGCAGAUAUCGGAGGGAACACCAGUGGCGAAGGCGGUGGUCUGGGCCGUAACUGACGCUGAGGAGCGAAAGGCGUAGGGUAGCAAACAGG
rnacentral:rRNA from 1 species